UACGAAGGGGGCUAGCGUUGCUCGGAAUCACUGGGCGUAAAGCGCACGUAGGCGGAUUGUUAAGUCAGGGGUGAAAUCCUGGAGCUCAACUCCAGAACUGCCUUUGAUACUGGCGAUCUCGAGUCCGGGAGAGGUGAGUGGAACUGCGAGUGUAGAGGUGAAAUCGUAGAUAUUCGCAAGAACACCAGUGGCGAAGGCGGCUCACUGGCCCGG
rnacentral:rRNA from 1 species